GACGAACGCUGGCGGCGUGCUUAACACAUGCAAGUCGAACGGUGAAGCGAGUGCUUGCACUCGUGGAUCAGUGGCGAACGGGUGAGUAACACGUGAGUAACCUGCCCAUCACUCUGGGAUAAGCACUGGAAACGGUGUCUAAUACUGGAUACGACCAACCCUUGCAUGGGGUGUUGGUGGAAAGAUUUAUCGGUGAUGGAUGGACUCGCGGCCUAUCAGCUUGUUGGCGGGGUAAUGGCCCACCAAGGCGACGACGGGUAGCCGGCCUGAGAGGGUGACCGGCCACACUGGGACUGAGACACGGCCCAGACUCCUACGGGAGGCAGCAGUGGGGAAUAUUGCACAAUGGGCGAAAGCCUGGUGCAGCGACGCCGCGUGAGGGAUGACGGCCUUCGGGUUGUAAACCUCUUUCAGCAGGGAAGAAGCGAAAGUGACGGUACCUGCAGAAGAAGCACCGGCUAACUACGUG
rnacentral:rRNA from 1 species